UACGUAGGGGGCUAGCGUUGUCCGGAAUCAUUGGGCGUAAAGCGCGUGUAGGCGGCCCGGUAAGUCCGCUGUGAAAGUCGGGGGGCUCAACCCUCGAAAGCCGGUGGAUACUGUCGGGCUCGAGUACGGAAGAGGCGAGUGGAAUUCCUGGUGUAGCGGUGAAAUGCGCAGAUAUCAGGAAGAACACCCGUGGCGAAGGCGGCUCUCUGGGACGGUACUGACGCUGAGACGCGAAAGCGUGGGGAGCGAACAGG
rnacentral:rRNA from 1 species